rnacentral:rRNA from 1 species
UGGGGAAUUUUGGACAAUGGGCGAAAGCCUGAUCCAGCAAUGCCGCGUGUGUGAAGAAGGCCUUCGGGUUGUAAAGCACUUUUGUCCGGAAAGAAAUCCUUGGCUCUAAUACAGUCGGGGGAUGACGGUACCGGAAGAAUAAGCACCGGCUAACUACGUGCCAGCAGCCGCGGUAAUACGUAGGGUGCAAGCGUUAAUCGGAAUUACUGGGCGUAAAGCGUGCGCAGGCGGUUUGCUAAGACCGAUGUGAAAUCCCCGGGCUCAACCUGGGAACUGCAUUGGUGACUGGCAGGCUAGAGUAUGGCAGAGGGGGGUAGAAUUCCACGUGUAGCAGUGAAAUGCGUAGAGAUGUGGAGGAAUACCGAUGGCGAAGGCAGCCCCCUGGGCCAAUACUGACGCUCAUGCACGAAAGCGUGGGGAGCAAACAGGAUUAGAUACCCUGGUAGUCCACGCCCUAAACGAUGUCAACUAGUUGUUGGGGAUUCAUUUCCUUAGUAACGUAGCUAACGCGUGAAGUUGACCGCCUGGGGGAGUACGGUCGCAAGAUUAAAACUUAAAGGAAUUGACGGGGUCAUA